GUUGCAUUUAAGUACUUGCCAGAUGUAUUUUUAAUGCAGUAAUUAAUGUCCGUGGCGUAGAAAUUAUAAUAUUUGCAUUACACAAGUGCACUUCAUAAUAACAGGAUGUAACUAGUAUUGCUGGCGUGGUAUCAGGAUUUUAUAUCGGUUUAUGCUACAAUAUAUAUUGUAGAGUGAACAUUUCUUAAAUAUCAAUUUCUGUGUAAAUGUCUUACUAGUGACAGAUAAUGAAAUUGAAUUCUACCUCAAAAAAUUCAUUUGUUGUGAUUGUGUAUCUUUAUCAAAUGAUUAACAAAUCAGAAAGUUCUACUUCUGUGUAAAGUCCGAUUCCUCUCGAAAUUACAUAAAUAUGGCGGAAUUUAUAGAUAUUGAAAGCUGUGAGCCGUUGAUGCAUUAUGACAGAUGUGAGUUCCAGUGUAUAGUUGAAGUAAUUCGGAAACAUGCAGGAAGAUAUAUUGAUCUUAUAGGAUUAUUGAUAACAAUGAAACAACUAGGGAUGAUAAAUGAAAAUCAGUACAGCAAUUUCAAGCGUAGAUUUACAGAAUCCGGAUCUACAAGUUUCGGACAAUAUCUGUUACAAUUACCAUUGCUUUUAUCCUUUGAACAACUGUGCUUUAUCUUUGAACAAGAAGGAUAUACGGACAUUUCGACUGAUCUUCGGUAUAAAAGAUUUACCCGUCUUUAUAAGAAUCUUCCUCAAAAAGAGAUGCCACAUUCAAAACGGACACAUGAUUACUACAAAACGCUCAAGAGCUGUAUUGACAACGAUUCGUUUCAUCGCGAUAAAAGAUUUCAAUUAAGAAAAUUUAUACAAAAUCAAGAUGCAAAAAUAGUUUCAACAGAAACGAUAUUAGAUCACGAUCGGCAGUUUGCAAUGGAGAAAAAGACAGCGGCGAUAGUAUUAUUGAUACAGCAGUACAAAGACAAUAAGGAACGAAAGAUGAUACUCAAUCAAGCAAUUGCCACAGAAACCAAUGGGAUAGAUAACACGUCUUUGGAAAUUGUUUAUCAUUCUAAAAUGGCUUUAACUGAGGCACAAGAUGGAAACGUUGGUGAGGCGGAAGAGCAUAUGGCUAAAACAAAAGACCUUUGCAGAAUUACAUGCCCCUGUUUCGCCGUUACAUCUGCAUUCCACGACGUCCAGUACACAUGUAAAUCUUUGUACUUUAGAAGUCCAUCAGAAGAGAAGCUGGAAAAAGUUCUCACGGAAGGUGAUGUAGGUAUUCAGAGUUUAGACGAAGAAAGGGAGGAUGUACAAAAGUUAUGGAAAAGAAUAAUGCUUCUGUACAUGGUGUUGUCGUUACUUUUCAUAACUCCGGAUUUCGUGGUUUGUGAUAUGAGAAAGGUUAAAGCAGCUCAUAAGAAACGAGCGGAACACAUUUUGAAAGAAAUAAAACGUUGCAGUGACGACAUCGAGCUAAGACGGCAAAUGAUUUUAUAUCUGUGUUUAGCAGUACUCAAUGAAGAAAAAGACAUAUCAUCAGCUGAAGAAUAUGCCAAACAUUCUUUAAUUGCUGCGGAAAAUGGUGGCUGUUUCCGUGAUAUAGAGAAACGCAAUAUCAAAGCUUAUCUGAAGAAAAUUCAAAGAAAGAUGUUAUGCAAUUACUAUGUAGGAACUGAAAGAAACAAUGUCAAGUGGAUGAAUAAGAUAAGAAUUAUUUUACUUUUCAACUGAAUAAGUUUGAGCUAAGGAAUACAAUAAAAUUCUAUGUGCUAAAAUAUUUGGAUGAAUAAUAUUGUAAUUUCAUUUUGUCUGUAAUUUUGUUCAGCAAAGAGUAAUGAGUUGGUACACAUCUAAACCAUUAAUACAUGACGUAAAGAAUUCUUUUCAUCAUAUUGACACAGACGUUCAAGAAAGUGACAACGAUAAAAAUGAUUUUCAGAAGCAGGAUACCAUAGUUACGGUCACACAUGAACAGCUUGCAAAAAUAAAUAAAGAUUUCGUGAGCUUGAAAAAAAUAUUUCUGCUCUUGGUAGCUUUAACAAUAGUACUUCUGUUUGUGUGUUUAUUCUUAGUUAUUUACCUGGAAUCAAAAUGCGCAAGAAAUAAAUCUGGAAGCUUACCAAACUCUGUGACAUCAGUAGAUGAUAUAAACAAAAUUGUUCAAGAAAAUCUUGCAUCAAAUGAUUUUCUGAGUAGAGCGCAUAAACAUAUUUUCUGUGUUGCGUGCGACGCUUUGAGAGAGGCUGAACCGCAUUUCUUUGAGUCCAUUGGAAACAACAAAUGCUGCAUUGAAAAUCUAUCAAUCUUCAUUCGACUUUUGAAAUAUACAUUUUUAAAGAGUUUGAAUGAAUACAAUUCGAAAGUAAGAAGUCUAAAGUCAAAGACCGCUUUGUUCAGCUCAAACAAAACUAAUGUGACAGAAAGCACAGAUGAUGACAUUCCAAAAGAAAGUAUAAUGUGGGAUACAGUACAGAAAAACAAUAGGCUGAUUAACACUCUGUUAAAUCGAAAGAGCUCAAUAUUACAUUUGUCUGGAACAGCUGACCACACUGGUAUCCGUUGGACAGAAGAUAUACAAUCAGGUGACUUGUCGUAUGACGAGCAGGGCAUUCAUGUAAACAGUGGCGGAAAAUAUUUUAUCUACUGCAACAUUCAUUUCGCAAAGAAAGUUUGCAACGGAACAGAAAACUUCGAGUACAGUAUCAGCCAAGAAUACAGUUCAGGAUUUCUACCAAUCGCUAGAGUGCAGAAAGGAUGUGCAACAGGCAGUAAUAUAAAUACAGGUUUAUUUGUGCAAAACGUGUUACAAGUUGAACUGGGACAACAUCAAACACUAAGAAUUCAGUACGACAAAAACAAUCAGGAGUAUAUUGCCACAGAGAACAAGUUGCAUGAUAUUAUUGUUUUUGAAAUCUGAAAUGAAGGACUUAUAUUUUGCAUACGUGUGGCUGCAAACUAAUGGUAUUCACUAGAUUAUGUUUUAUGUGUUUCAUAUAAAACACAUGCCGACAAAAUUGAUUUUAGAAUCAAAUAUUGUGUAUGCACACCAAAUGUAAUGAGAGUCGAUGAACCAGUACGUCAGAAGUAAACAUAUAUUCACACAGUUAUUUCUCAAUAUUAACCAGAUUAUAUAGCUUUUUAAGUUAACAAAAUGCUAAAACACAUUGUCAGUAUAAAGAAUAAAAUAUUAUUGAUAAAAACUGCCUAUUGUAAUUCAUAUUUCUACACUGGAGUUUAUUUUUUAAAGAAAGGAGUUGACUGUGACAGAUUUCUGUAAACUGUAUCACUGUGAAGGUAUAUACGAAUGAUAAUUUACAUACUAAACAAUACAGAAAAAAUCCAGUGUAACCGAUAUUGAAAUAAUCAAUUGUGACGUUUGUAAUAAUGGGCUUUUCUUGAUUAGAUAACGCUUUUCAAAUUAGUAAAUCUUGUAAUGAUUUUAAAGGCAUGCAUUAUACUUAUGUUGCCUAUAGGCUUUAUCAAGCGUAGACUAAUUCCACAGGGACAAAAUAAUUCAUAUACAGCUACACACAAAUGCAUGUACUGCUUCGUAACGUAGAGUAUCUUUGUUGAAAUGCAUCGAUGAAAGAUGAAUGAAUCCGAACACAAGAUCAUAAGACAAAUUCGAAGUUGCAUUGUUUGUGCAAAAGAAGUUGGUACGUAUGCAGUGACAUUGUCAACAGCUUUAAUAGCUUACAUUAGUCAUUGUGUCAAGCCCUUUUCUUACAUACUCCAGUUGAAUACGGAACACACUUUAAAUCUUAAACUGUAGCGAGCACAGCAUGUAUACAAUAAUGGUUUAAAAGGGAAAUCUUGUUAUAGGUUUUCUGAAUCCUUACAGUAAAAUGUUUGAAUAAUUCAAGGAAUCCUUUUGACGUUUUCGUAUAACAGGUCAUCGCUGAAGGCGGUGUUAACCCCGACGUAAAUGGUAUUGCGCAUUUCAUUACCUGUCACAACAAAAUGCUAAUUUGAUGCUUACCCGCAUUCUGUUCUUACUAUCACAACAGCAGUCUUAUGUACUUGUAUUUAGUUUACAUAUAAACAGAAAAACAAGCUAAAAAUCUAAUAAUAAACAUAAAAUUAUAUCAAUGUGAACGAACUCAAUGGAUGCUUAGAGUUUGUUGCUGUUAUAAACCAGAUAUUCUUACAUACAACAGCUACAUUUUAUUUACAACCAUAGUACCACAGAAUAUGCACCUAUAGAAAGGCGUAACAGAACUAUUUUUAACUAUUUUGUAAGUUUUACACAGUAAAGAAUUUCGACUGUUGUAAAUGAAGUACGUUCAAACAUAUUCUAGAUCGCAUAUUUUUUUUUUUUGAAAAUGAAACACACUGUCUGCUUGAAUGUAAAAUAUAUUAUGAAUUAUGAGUUAGAAGAUACUGUGUUCAAAAAUAUAAUCUAACGCGAUUUAUAUUCAGGUUUAUCGAACGUACAGGCACGAUCUGACUUGUGAAAUGAAUGCCAAAUAAAAGUAUCCAAAAUGUAUACUUCAGAGCUACCAGACUAGAAGUUCUUAGUACUAAAGUAAUACAUCCGUGCAUAUCAUAUUUAUUUCUAACCAUUCUGAAAAGUGGCUCUCUCUACAGCAAAAUCAUCUCUAUAACAACAUCAGCAAAAUUUCCCUAAGCUGAAAUAUACUAUCAAAUUUACCACCUCCACAUAACAGUCAAUAUUUGUAUCUCCCAAAGGCUGUUGCUCUACAGAGGUUGCCUGUAUUUGGUUUUGUUUUAAUUAGUUGUAAUUUUGACAUCUCAGUAACGAUAAGUUUUUCUAAAAGUGUGUAAAAUAUUGAUAUUUUUUAACGGGAAACGACGUUACGUCAAAUCAGGAAGUGUUCAUAUAUUGUACUAGUUUACAUUUAAAAAGAUGUUUAGUUUCUCAGGCCCCGCCGCAUACAAUUUUGACCCGCCACAUCUAAAUUUUUUAUCGAAGAAAAAUUGUGGACAUUCGUGAAAAGAUAAAAUUCAACAAAAAAUGAGGACGAAAUAACAAAAAUAAGUGAGUACGAAUAAAUCGUCAAGAACGGUUACUCUGUUCAUCUCGGUUACGGUAGUUCUGCAUGUCUGGGUCGAAUUUUUUCUACAAUGUAGAAUUUGAUUAAACCCUGAUAUUUCAAAACUUCAUAAUAUAUUUGGAAAAUUGAGCAAAUUGAAAAUAGGGUCGUUUGCUUGAUUUUUUGCGAGACUGAUUUGAAAAAUUUGAAAACUUUCAUAUUAUUUUCGGGAAUAGAAAUUUUCCUACAAUGUAGAUUUUAAUGAAACUUUUGUUGUAAAUAAAAACAUGUUCUAUAAUAUGGUUAAAUAAAAUGUAUAGAUCCGUG
rnacentral:misc_RNA from 1 species